GCGUGCCUAAUACAUGCAAGUCGAGCGAACAGACGAGGAGCUUGCUCCUCUGACGUUAGCGGCGGACGGGUGAGUAACACGUGGAUAACCUACCUAUAAGACUGGGAUAACUUCGGGAAACCGGAGCUAAUACCGGAUAAUAUAUUGAACCGCAUGGUUCAAUAGUGAAAGACGGUUUUGCUGUCACUUAUAGAUGGAUCCGCGCCGCAUUAGCUAGUUGGUAAGGUAACGGCUUACCAAGGCAACGAUGCGUAGCCGACCUGAGAGGGUGAUCGGCCACACUGGAACUGAGACACGGUCCAGACUCCUACGGGAGGCAGCAGUAGGGAAUCUUCCGCAAUGGGCGAAAGCCUGACGGAGCAACGCCGCGUGAGUGAUGAAGGUCUUCGGAUCGUAAAACUCUGUUAUUAGGGAAGAACAAAUGUGUAAGUAACUAUGCACGUCUUGACGGUACCUAAUCAGAAAGCCACGGCUAACUACGUGCCAGCAGCCGCGGUAAUACGUAGGUGGCAAGCGUUAUCCGGAAUUAUUGGGCGUAAAGCGCGCGUAGGCGGUUUUUUAAGUCUGAUGUGAAAGCCCACGGCUCAACCGUGGAGGGUCAUUGGAAACUGGAAAACUUGAGUGCAGAAGAGGAAAGUGGAAUUCCAUGUGUAGCGGUGAAAUGCGCAGAGAUAUGGAGGAACACCAGUGGCGAAGGCGACUUUCUGGUCUGUAACUGACGCUGAUGUGCGAAAG
rnacentral:rRNA from 1 species